UUAAGCGACUAAGCGUACACGGUGGAUGCCCUGGCAGUCAGAGGCGAUGAAGGACGUGCUAAUCUGCGAAAAGCGUCGGUAAGGUGAUAUGAACCGUUAUAACCGGCGAUGUCCGAAUGGGGAAACCCAGUGCAAUUCGUUGCACUAUCGUUAACUGAAUACAUAGGUUAACGAGGCGAACCGGGGGAACUGAAACAUCUAAGUACCCCGAGGAAAAGAAAUCAACCGAGAUUCCCCCAGUAGCGGCGAGCGAACGGGGAGCAGCCCAGAGUCUGAAUCAGCUUGUGUGUUAGUGGAACGGUCUGGAAAGUCCGACGGUACAGGGUGAUAGUCCCGUACACCAAAAUGCACAGGUUGUGAACUCGAAGAGUAGGGCGGGACACGUGGUAUCCUGUCUGAAUAUGGGGGGACCAUCCUCCAAGGCUAAAUACUCCUGACUGACCGAUAGUGAACCAGUACCGUGAGGGAAAGGCGAAAAGAACCCCGGCGAGGGGAGUGAAAAAGAACCUGAAACCGUGUACGUACAAGCAGUGGGAGCACCUUCGGGUGUGACUGCGUACCUUUUGUAUAAUGGGUCAGCGACUUAUAUUCUGUAGCAAGGUUAACCGUAUAGGGGAGCCGCAGGGAAACCGAGUCUUAACUGGGCGUUAAGUUGCAGGGUAUAGACCCGAAACCCGGUGAUCUAGCCAUGGGCAGGUUGAAGGUUGGGUAACACUAACUGGAGGACCGAACCGACUAAUGUUGAAAAAUUAGCGGAUGACUUGUGGCUGGGGGUGAAAGGCCAAUCAAACCGGGAGAUAGCUGGUUCUCCCCGAAAGCUAUUUAGGUAGCGCCUCGUGAACUCAUCUUCGGGGGUAGAGCACUGUUUCGGCUAGGGGGUCAUCCCGACUUACCAACCCGAUGCAAACUACGAAUACCGAAGAAUGUUAUCACGGGAGACACACGGCGGGUGCUAACGUCCGUCGUGAAGAGGGAAACAACCCAGACCGCCAGCUAAGGUCCCAAAGUCAUGGUUAAGUGGGAAACGAUGUGGGAAGGCACAGACAGCCAGGAUGUUGGCUUAGAAGCAGCCAUCAUUUAAAGAAAGCGUAAUAGCUCACUGGUCGAGUCGGCCUGCGCGGAAGAUGUAACGGGGCUAAACCAUGCACCGAAGCUGCGGCAGCGACACUAUGUGUUGUUGGGUAGGGGAGCGUUCUGUAAGCCUGCGAAGGUGUGCUGUGAGGCAUGCUGGAGGUAUCAGAAGUGCGAAUGCUGACAUAAGUAACGAUAAAGCGGGUGAAAAGCCCGCUCGCCGGAAGACCAAGGGUUCCUGUCCAACGUUAAUCGGGGCAGGGUGAGUCGACCCCUAAGGCGAGGCCGAAAGGCGUAGUCGAUGGGAAACAGGUUAAUAUUCCUGUACUUGGUGUUACUGCGAAGGGGGGACGGAGAAGGCUAUGUUAGCCGGGCGACGGUUGUCCCGGUUUAAGCAUGUAGGCUGAUUAUCCAGGCAAAUCCGGAUAAUCAAGGCUGAGGUGUGAUGACGAGGCACUACGGUGCUGAAGUAACAAAUGCCCUGCUUCCAGGAAAAGCCUCUAAGCAUCAGGUAACAUCAAAUCGUACCCCAAACCGACACAGGUGGUCAGGUAGAGAAUACCAAGGCGCUUGAGAGAACUCGGGUGAAGGAACUAGGCAAAAUGGUGCCGUAACUUCGGGAGAAGGCACGCUGGUGUGUAGGUGAAGUCCCUGCGGAUGGAGCUGAGACCAGUCGAAGAUACCAGCUGGCUGCAACUGUUUAUUAAAAACACAGCACUGUGCAAACACGAAAGUGGACGUAUACGGUGUGACGCCUGCCCGGUGCCGGAAGGUUAAUUGAUGGGGUUAUCCGUAAGGAGAAGCUCUUGAUCGAAGCCCCGGUAAACGGCGGCCGUAACUAUAACGGUCCUAAGGUAGCGAAAUUCCUUGUCGGGUAAGUUCCGACCUGCACGAAUGGCGUAAUGAUGGCCAGGCUGUCUCCACCCGAGACUCAGUGAAAUUGAACUCGCUGUGAAGAUGCAGUGUACCCGCGGCAAGACGGAAAGACCCCGUGAACCUUUACUAUAGCUUGACACUGAACAUUGAGCCUUGAUGUGUAGGAUAGGUGGGAGGCUUUGAAGCGUGGACGCCAGUCUGCGUGGAGCCAACCUUGAAAUACCACCCUUUAAUGUUUGAUGUUCUAACGUUGGCCCCU
rnacentral:rRNA from 1 species